rnacentral:rRNA from 1 species
CGGGAAUUUUGGGCAAUGGGCGAAAGCCUGACCCAGCAACGCCGCGUGAAGGAUGAAGUCCUUCGGGAUGUAAACUUCGUAAGAAUGGGAAGAAUAAAUGACGGUAACAUUUGUAAGGCCCGGCUAACUACGUGCCAGCAGCCGCGGUAAUACGUAGGGACCAAGCGUUGUUCGGAUUUACUGGGCGUAAAGGGAGCGUAGGCGGCGCGUCAAGUCAGCUGUGAAAUCUUAAGGCUUAACCUUAAGCGGUCAGCUGAUACUGUCGUGCUAGAGUACAGAAGGGGCAAUCGGAAUUCUUGGUGUAGCGGUGAAAUGCGUAGAUAUCAAGAGGAACACCUGAGGUGAAGACGGGUUGCUGGGCUGAUACUGACGCUGAGGCUCGAAAGCCAGGGGAGCAAA